ensembl:lncRNA
UUUCUCUCUAUUUAUUACAACAUGUAAGGUCAUAAAUGAAGACGGGAGCGGUGGGAACGAGUGUUUUAAGUCCUCUCAGUCAGACCUAUUCCAGGAGAAUUUAUCUGAAACGCAGAGCAACCCAGAGUAAACUUGUCUUAUGAUCAUGAAUUUUGGCAAAAUAUCAAGAAAUUUGGAAAGUGAUCAAAUUCCUUUCACCUUCAAGAAAGAGAAGUAUGAGGUCGACUACCUUCAUAAAGCUAGAAGAAGUUGCAAAAAAUAGCUGAAGACGUCCACAAUUUCUUGGAUUCUCCACUCAAACAACGAAAAGGAAAGCGUCCUCCGUGGUGGUGUUUCUCUGAAGAACUGGCUGGAGGAACGCCGUUUGAACUGAGACCGUUGGCGCUGCAGAUCUCUGUGGCAGAUAGAAAGAGAGAACAUGGAAGCAAGUGAGGUGUCCAAGGACUUCAUCACAAACACCGAAUUCCAAUCUUUAUUACCAGACGAAAUUUUUCCUGAGUCAUCCAAGGAAGACAAACGUUUGCUGUUGGCUGGUCACGGCUUCCGUCUUGACUGCUUCAUCUGCGAAUCCGAUGAGUCGUAACAAUCCGGGUGGAUUGAGUUCAACUUUCCUUUUACCUACCUUUGGACCAGUAGAUACUCAAAAUUGAGCCACCAGACUCCAUAGGCACAUUUUCCCCCAUGGAAAGUAUGAGAGGGUGUGUGUGAGUCCAAGAUGAACUAUGGGAAGGAAAGGAAAAUGCAUGAGGACUGUUGACUUCGAUGGAAUCCCUAUUUGAAGAGUUCAUUUGUCCGUGAUAGUGUGGUGCUGAAGAGUAGCCAAAGAUACACUGUUUCAACUAACAGUUUCUCUACAUUAGGGUGGUGGUACCAGCACUAGCACUACACGCAUCUCCUCCCAGCUCUGCCUUAAUGCCACAGGCCCCCGCCCAGUACCCAAGAUCUGCAAGCCACACCAAGACAAGCUUCAAACAAAGAACCUGUUCUCACAACCUAUGAUCAUCCGCCACCCCAGGUUCCAGAAAGGUAACCUGAGGCAUCUGAGGUCCUACAAAUCCGAAGGUCAUGCUCUGUCUGGAAACAGUCAAAUAUAAUCUGUGAUAUGCCAGCCAUCAGCUUGCUUCGGACAAAGGAUAAAGAAGAAGUCAAGUUUCCAUCCUAACUCUCCCCAAACAGGUGAGGGAAGAGGCAUGAAGGAAGUCCCACAGCCACACCAGGAGACAUAAUCAGAGCCAGAUGCCAAGCUUUCUGAAUCAAGUGGACUCACAUGCCAUAAAAAUGAGUGGUUUAUUAUAGGCCUCUAAUUAACAAAAUAUGGUUUUUACAUACAGCCAACAGAGUGUACCCCACUGUGUGCCCAUAAAACACGCUUGGCAAAUUGGAAAUAACAGAAUGGCCAUUUUCACCACAUUAAGAAGACUGAGCUCGAGUUUUGUAUUACGUCUACCUUGCAUCAACCCUACAAGGAGCAAAGUCAAAUAGUCAGUCAAUAUUUAGUACAUCAUUCACUUAAUAAAAUCUUUUGAGUGUUUACUGUAAGCAAAACUAACAUACGCAGAAUCGUUGGAAGUAAAAACUUGACUCCAUCUAUAGCCCAAAUUUCAGGCAUGCCUUUAAAUUACAACUAUUUUGUUUAAAAUUUUGUCAAAUGGCCAUUUUGUAAAUUAACUUACUAAAAUGACCGUUCAGGGACAGAGGACAGACAGGAUCAUCUGGGGCCAUAUUAUUCCUCCAUUGUCCCUUUAGAGAGCCUGUUCAACUGUCACAAAACAAGGCAGUAUAAAUGUGGCUCCAGUGCUCAUCAACUCUUUCUUAAUACUGCUCUCAUUAUAUUAAUACUCAAGGACAGCGAUGAUGGUCGUGACAAGCGUCAUAAAUGAUGAAGUACUGCAUCUUCGCGAGGUAAUUGAUUGAGGCACAUUCAGGCUAUUGAGCUUUCCACAAUUGGCAGGUGUGUCUUUUAUAAAAUCCCAGAUCAAGGGCCAGCCUGGGUAGCCCAGUGGUUAAGUUCAGCACGCUCUGCUUUUUUUGGUGGCUCGGGUUCAGUUCCUGGGCGCAGACCUACACCACUCUGUUAGUGGCCAUGCUGUGCUGGCAGCCCACAUACUAAAAAGUAGAGGAAGAUUGGCACUGAUGUUCACUCAGGGUGAAUCUUCCAUAAGAAAAUUAAAAAAUAAAAAUAAUUUUAAAAACCCCAAGUCUAAAGAAAGAGAGAAAGGUCUUCACUGGCCUCCGUGGUCCACAGCUCCUCUAUAUACAGUGUGAGAAGGACAGCUCUGGGACCAGGCGAGGCUCUCUAUGGCUCUGUUCCUUAGGAGUGGGGGCAGCAGCUGCAUCACUUACACGCAUGGUGGCAUUCCACUGCCAGCAUCUGCCAGCCACUGCUGAACUGCGCUAACUGAGAAGUAAAACUCCUUGCCAGUGAGUGCACUGAUUGGCGUGCCGAGAGCCGACUCCCAGCAGUAGAGAGGCCUGCAGCCAGAGGACAAUCGAUGACGAUGAACAGGUCAAAUAAAAGCAUGUUCCUGGGGUCCAACUUGGUUUUGAAAGCUGAAGUGUCCUGAUCGUAUCCAGUUAACCACAUGUAGGGCUGCUGUAUUUUCUCUGCUCUGAAAACGCAGGUGUUACCACACCAGGAAGUUGGCUGCGUUAGGAGGUUCUCGAAAGCGCUGCUUCUGGUACUAAGGUCCCACUUAUUGGUAGCCCCACGCCCCUCGCAUCCCUUCUCACAGUCUCUCAAGCCCCAUGUGGAGUAUGGAAUUGAAUAAACAAGGUUCCAUCCAGAGAAGACCAAGUCCUCCUUAUGCGUAUUCAUUCCUGGAGAGUGCUAAGCAUCUCUUCUGAGACGGACUGAGAAUGCCCUGUAAGAAACCAUGUCUGAAAGCAGAGCACAGUCUCUGGGAGGAGCUUCCUGGUGCUGGAAACAACAAGGGUAUGAUUUCUAUUAAUCUGCGAAAAUGCACUCGUUCAAAUGAGAGAAGUGGAUGGAUAAAAAACUCAUCAGGGUAUGUUGAUGCCACACUCCUACUCCUUUAGGUAUUGUCUUGUAGAUUUCAACCAACAAUCAAGUAUCAACACUAAGCAUCAAUCAAUAAUCUAGUAAUCAUCAAGUAUCAAUUGAUCAACAUUUAUUAUCUAUUCUUUGCUAGAAAGGGAUGUAAGAUAAAAACAAGACAUUUUCCCUACCCUUUUUAUAUUUAAGGCAUACGUAAUUCGCUUAAUAAAAACUUUUAAGUAUAUACUCUAGGCAAAACUAACAUACAUAGAAUCAUUGGAAAUAAAAGCUGGACUCUAUCUGUAGCCCAAAUUUCAGACAUGCUUUUAAAUCUCCAAACAAAUUUAAACUUUUUUUUCCAUAUAGAGAACAUUCAAAUAUUUAAAGAUAAUAUACAUAUUGUCUUCUUUGUUCCAGGCUAAAAUUUUUUUAACUGUUUCUCAUAUGAUAAGAUUUUUUAAAUCAUGCCCCAUCUUAAUUAUCUCUAAAUACUCUCCCAUUUUAAGCAUCAUUCUUAAUAUGAUCUGGCUCUAUGCCUUCACUCUAUGAAACUCUACCUUCUUAUCUGUGAAAUGGCAGAGUUAGGCUAGAUUAAUAAGAUUGUAUCCUCCUAUCAUUAAAAAAACUGAUUUGAACAAACUUCCGCUCCCAUAGGUCUACGCAUCUAUGCAAUAUCCUCCGAGAGCACUGUCUUCACAUCAGACAUGUUGAAAAGAGAUUAGGAUUGCGUGGCAACCACCGUAAAGGAUGUGGUUUCUAGAGAAUUUGUCAGGAACAGAGGUCGUAUGUUGUCUAGUGUGACAGAUGGACGGAUUCAUUUACAAGGUCACCAGAUGCGUGACCUACAAAGGCUCUUAGCUCUUCGGGUCCAACUCACUCUUUUUACUGAGUGGAAAAGAGAUCCAGGUGCCAAGUCACUUGUUCACGAGCAACACUGUGUGUAGCAUACUUAUUUUCCAAAAACGUUAGCAGCACGAUUUCUGAUCCCACCUGGUCUUAGAGACCCUUGCCACACCUCCAUCAAGAAGUAGGGUCUGUCUCCCCUCUCCUGGUGACAGCUUCCAGGAAGAGAAUGCAGCAGAAGUGAUGCUGUGUGAGUUCCGAGGCUAGAUCAUAAUAGGCCACGUGGCACAUGGCUCCCUCUCUCUGUCUCAUUCAUCUCUCUGCACAUCUUUGGAGCCCUGAACCACCACAUAAGAAUUCUGGUUUUCCAGAAGCCAACAAACUAGAGAGACCACGUAGAGAGACCAAAGAGAGGCAUCGGAGAGCCCCGCUGGCCAGCCUCCAGCUGUUUGCAUCUUCCCAGCUCAGGAGUCAAAGACGAGUCAAUACUGAAUAUUGUAACUAUCAAAUUAUCAACCAGCAUUUUCCUUAGACCUCCAGAAUGAGGAUUGUAGAAUUUGAUGAUGUAAACCAGCUGGUACCCUGAAAAGAUCAUGGACCUGGGAGCCAGAGGCAACUCACUACCUCACUCACUCAACCUCUUUGGGUUCCAUUCAAUUGGCUAAUAUAUAUUGACUCUUUCAUACGGACUGAGCAUUGUGUUGAGUGCUAGAGACACAAAGACAAAUAAGCCACUACCUUGCCUUCAAAGAAGCUAAGGUCCACUAUGGGAGACAGCCAUGUACAAAAACAAUUGUGAUACUGGAUGCCCAGACCUCAACAGAAGGAUGUACAGUGCACUGGGAAGUGCCAGAUGGAAUGGCUCGUUCCAUCCAGGAUGGGUUUUAGGGAAUUUUUCUUAAGGAAGGUGAAACCUCGCAGAGCCUCAUAUGAGGAACGAAGAGGCUAAAGUAAAAGAUGUCAUGUCUCUUCCAGCCUUCUUACAGCUCUGAAAUUCAGUAGCUUUAUGGAUAAACCCAAGAAAUCCUGAAAACCAGGAACAUCCAGAGUCAAGAGGUUUCUGAGGGGACUGGGGGCUUGUGGGAUUGGGAAGCUACACAAAUUAAUGGCAAGCUGCUGGGCAGAGCCUCAAAGACAGGUAACUGUCCCACCCAGUCUCUCUCGAACUCUUGUCAUGUGCAUGACAACAUUUUGACAAGUGAAGAAAUCAACUCCCAGAGUCCUCCAUGUGCUCGGAGGAGAAGACAGGGUACCAUGCUAUUUGCCCUUGAGAAGCCCCCAGCCAGAAAGAGACGAAAGGGCAAAGAGGAGACCGGGCAGCUCUGACUACAAACCCAGGCACAAUACAGAGGCCCUAGGGACAGGGGCAAGGAAGGAGUUAAUUAAAGGGAGGGAAAUGUCUGCUUCCAAAGGAAUCAAAAAAAGUCUCCAUGACAUACAAGCUUCCAACUGAAAAGACUAUCAAAUGGCAAAGAGAUAACACAAAAAAAGGAAGAACAUUCUGGGAGAACAAAUGACGUGAGCAAAGAGUCUACAUUCUUAACACCAUGUGGUAUUGGAUGCCCUGCUGGGGAAUGGAUGCCUAACCGAAGAGGCAAUAGAAAAAACGUUGUUUUUAAAGAGAGGACUAAUAUAAUACAGUGGAACUCCAGGAUCAGGAGUUAAGAAAAGAAAUAAAGGACGUGAGGACAUUGAAUUAGAAUAUAGAAAUGCAGGAUAUACAAUCACAGACUUGGAGAGAGAUCUUAACUAAGUCUGCCUUCUGACAUUUGGUGUGACUCCUGACACAUGCACAAAUGUCUACAGGAUGCUGGUUCUACUCUUCUCUUGGAGUGAGACAAGGUUUAUGACAAGGGACCACAUGAGUUUUUCCUAAGUGCACAAAUGAGAUCUUUCAGAGGGUGGACUGAGGAGUGGAAAGACGAAAGAGAAGGAGAGAAACAGGAGGAACAAUGCACCGGUACAAGGUGUGCAUGAGCAAGCAAAUUGCAGACAACCUCUGCCGCUCUGAUCUCUGGUGCUCAAUCUGAAAUAGGGAGAGGACUCAGAUGGAAAUUGAUCAUGGUCAUGACCCAAAUGCUUCCUGAGACCCUCACUCUCCUUGUCCUAAAAAGCAGUAUAAUUUGGUAAAAGAAGACAGUUCCUCAGUCACUGCCAUCUGUCACCUGCCUGAGCCCUUAUAUCUGCAACUUCAAGAAGACAGAGAAAUGAAUGACCUCCUUGCAGUCUAUCUGCAGCAGAGAGGCCUUUUCCAGUUCAGUCUUCUCUAUUCCUUGUAAUCACUUUAUUUUGUUAAUAAAAUAAAUCUGCCACUCAGGGUUCUCUAGAGGCUUCAUUAUUUAUACUUCCACAUCCAGAAAUAGAUCUUGAUAAAGCAAUCUUAUUUAUAACUACUGUGUACCAGACAUUAGCCAAAGCUUUACCCACCUCUCGUGGCUUCUUUCUCUAACAAGUCUUUUAAAUCAUUUUAUGGAAAGGAGUUCUCUUAAAUCCAUCCAACCAUUUACUAGUCUUAGCAAUGUACAUUUGAUGCAAGAAGGCAACCUGAAAUAAACCAGCUAGGGUCACACUGAAGAAAACCGCGAAGAUUUUCAGAAUGCAGAGAUGGCCUCAUGCAUAAAUAUUACCCCAGAUCUAAAGCAGGAGAAGAGACUGAGGUAUAGUCGGAUCCCUGAAUGUCACACUUCAUUCAGAAAGUCAUCUCCCUUGCAUAUCUCAGGUUGCUCAUCUGAGAGUAAGUUUGAAAACAAAGUUUUGCUUCUUAAAAUGAAGAACAGAACAAACCCCUGUGGGAUCUUAUUAAACAGUUGGCAGACUACUAUGCAUCUUAGUUUUCCUAAGCAUUACUGGUAUCAGUAGGCAAUUCUGUGGUUUCCCUCAGAGUGAAAAGGAAAACGAGCUCUUAAAAUGGGGUGGGGUUUCCAAAGCAACGGCAGAUGUUAACAUUAGGGGAAACUGGCUGAGGGGUAGACCAGAACCCUGCAUUAUCUUUUCAACUUCUCUCUACAUCAAAAACGCUUUCACAAUAAAAAUAGAUUUAAAAGAAAUAGGGUGGGGCUGGAAGGGAAGAAUAAACUUGGGGCUGCCGGAGGAUCAAAGAGUGGGUUUAAAACCGUGGUCUUACAUGGCAGAUCACAACCAGAGGAAGCCCCACCUGAGAUGCACAGAGGACCUGUCCCUUCGGUAACUUAGACCAACAAGCUCUAGAUUGUUCUUACUUCUAGGGAACAGAAUCCCCAACACCUCUGCUGGGCAAGGCAGGCUUUCAUCAUUUUGCAUAUGGCACCACGUGUCUCCAGCCUCUUCAAGGUCUCUUCUCUGAGGGUCAUUUCAUUGGGACAUCAGGUCCUUUCCUGAGCUCUUUCUCUCCAUUUAUACCUGGUGUUUUGACAAGCCGUUCUUUUCCUUCUACAAACACAGCUUGCGUGUGGAAUCACGUCCCAGAAGUUACAGUGAGCAAAGACACAUGGUAUCUAUGAAUCUCUUCUGUGUGUGUACGUGUGUGUGUGUUUUAAUCUGUUCCUUAAAUUGUAAGGCUUACUGGGGAGAUGAAAAAGAGGCUGGAGGAGCUAAAGGCAGUUAUAUCAGUUCUGUACAAAGAAAGUGAACGGGGCUUGGUGCAAGCCAAGAUUGAAUGUGAUUGAGUGCUUCUGUAUGAGGAAAAAAACGCAGCCCGAAAAACAGACACGGGGCCCGUGAGUCCUUCGCCAGGCUUCUUAAAAUAACUACCAUUGUGUUGGAUUAAAAG